GAAAAACUACAUUUUUUUGGAGUGAGAAUAUGGAGUACUACUGGAAGUAAGAUCAAAGUUUGCUCAUCUCUGCCCUGUUCUGAUGUUUUGUAGACUGACCUCUAUGGAUAUUGAAGCUCAGGUGAAAGGAGGAUUGAGUUCCCUAUUCUCUGUCGUACUCCUUCGUCUUAUCAACGACAAAAGCUAACUGUAAAACAUCCUCAGGCAGUUCCUUCAGGAGAUAUUCCAGAAGAAGUUGUUAUCAUAGGAGAUGACAGCUUCAUGUGUAUUACCGCCCCUGAGGAUCUUCAAGUAAGACAAUACGUGGAAAUGGAAGACAAUCACAUGGAUGAUCUUGACCCUGAAUAAGCCUAGGCUAAUGU